ACGUAGGAGGCGAGCGUUGUCCGGAAUUACUGGGCGUAAAGAGCGCGUAGGCGGCGUGAUACGACGGGUGUUAAAGCUCCCGGCUCAACCGGGAAGAGGCACCGGUAACGGUCAUGCUUUUGAGGGCAGGAGAGGGACGUGGAACUCCGCGAGUAGCGGUGAAAUGCGUAGAGACGCGGAGGAACACCAGUGGCGAAGGCGGCGUCCUGGCCUGUCACUGACGCUGUGGCGCGAAAGCUAGGGGAGCAAACGGGAUUAGAUACCCCGGUAGUCCUAGCCGUAAACGAUGGACACUAGGUGUGCGUGGUAUCGACCCCACGCGUGCCGGAGCUAACGCAGGAAGUGUCCCGCCUGGGGAGUACGGUCGCAAGACUA
rnacentral:rRNA from 1 species